CAGUACACCAGGAAGUGACACAGCAGCUAGUGAGAGGCUGACAGGAAGAGGAAGUCACAGAUUCUGGCAGAAGAGAAAAGCCUAGCAGAGAGAACCACAUGGUGAGAGCUUAGAGGCUCCACCGAAAGCAUUCAUUUGGAUCAGGCUGGCACAGGGAAACCAGGUACUGUGCUUGGAGGGACAAAGAGCAUGAAAGAAAGCCAGAUUGGAGAAACCAGCAUCAGCAGGGGGUUUCCAUCUGAGCAUCCAAAGGGGCUGGUAGUCACACUGUAUGCCUGAAUGUGCUGGACUCGCCGGAAGAGAACUCUAUAAAGCAUCCAAAGAGGAUUUGGAGGUAGAUGAUGGAUAUCCUGUGGCGUCUAAAAAAAACAUGAAAUAGAAAUAUCUCACUUCCUGGACCUUUUAACUGGCAGAAAGAAGAGCUUGUUCCCAGGCCUUCAACUGGACUAUAGUGACUUGAAGUGAAGACUCUGGAUGUUCCUGUGCAAGAUGAGAAAGUUGAGCAAGCAGAGCAGAAAGCUACAAUGUUUGAUCUCAGGGAGACGGUGGACCUCCUGUACAUGAACAUGUUGGGAUUGUAAGGAUGAGGGGCAUUCUUGAUAUUUAUUUUCGAGUGAAAGUGAAUGAACUGGGGGAUUAUUGUCAAGACUAUAUUAAUGCAUAAAACUUCUUUAUUAUAAUGUUUCACUUCUGUACCACUACUUGUUAUCUACUAUCUCAUUGUUGGACAACUGUUUUACAAGGGCCACGUCCUUCUACCUGUAAAUAGUUUUUAUAAGCAUUUCACUCAAGAUUGGCUACUCCAAAACAAACACUUCAAAUAUACAUCUAGAUUUACAGGCCCCUAAAUGUCAUAGUGUGUGAUUAUCAAACAACUUCCUGUUGUAUGUUACUUAGGUAACCUUGUAUUCAAGCAAUAUAUAUAUAUAUAUAUACUGUUGAGCACAAUGUAGGGACAAAUGGCAUGCACAUAAAUUGUUCUAAUGCAACUUCAAACAAAUAUAUUGCAGCAUACCUUUUCCUUGACUUCCAGAUUGCACAUGUUAGAAGAACACACUUAGAUUUCACAGCCCCAUUCAUUAAAUUUGAGAGAACCAUAUGACGACCCAUGAUGUGCUUUGCAGCCAGGAAAACAUUCGAUUUUGAAGGUUAUAAGAAAGAGAAGGAGCUAAUCUAUCUAUCUAUCUAUCUAUCUAUCUAUCUAUCUAUCUAUCUAUCUAUCUAUCUAUCUAUCUAUCUAUCAGCAUCUAUCUAUCAUCA